AGAGUUUGAUCCUGGCUCAGAUUGAACGCUGGCGGCAGGCCUAACACAUGCAAGUCGAGCGGUAGCACGGGGAGCUUGCUCCUGGGUGACGAGCGGCGGACGGGUGAGUAAUGUCUGGGGAUCUGCCUGAUGGAGGGGGAUAACUACUGGAAACGGUAGCUAAUACCGCAUAACGUCGCAAGACCAAAGAGGGGGACCUUCGGGCCUCUUGCCAUCAGAUGAACCCAGAUGGGAUUAGCUAGUAGGUGGGGUAAUGGCUCACCUAGGCGACGAUCCCUAGCUGGUCUGAGAGGAUGACCAGCCACACUGGAACUGAGACACGGUCCAGACUCCUACGGGAGGCAGCAGUGGGGAAUAUUGCACAAUGGGCGCAAGCCUGAUGCAGCCAUGCCGCGUGUAUGAAGAAGGCCUUCGGGUUGUAAAGUACUUUCAGCGAGGAGGAAGGCAUUAAGGUUAAUAACCUUAGUGAUUGACGUUACUCGCAGAAGAAGCACCGGCUAACUCCGUGCCAGCAGCCCGCGGUAAUACGGAGGGUGCAAGCGUUAAUCGGAAUUACUGGGCGUAAAGCGCACGCAGGCGGUUUGUUAAGUCGGAUGUGAAAUCCCCGGGCUCAACCUGGGAACUGCAUUCGAAACUGGCAAGCUUGAGUCUUGUAGAGGGGGGUAGAAUUCCAGGUGUAGCGGUGAAAUGCGUAG
rnacentral:rRNA from 1 species